GACGAACGCUGGCGGCGUGCUUAACACAUGCAAGUCGAACGGAAAGGCCCUGCUUUUGUGGGGUGCUCGAGUGGCGAACGGGUGAGUAACACGUGAGUAACCUGCCCUUGACUUUGGGAUACUUCAGGAAACCGGGGCUAAUACCGGAUAGGAGCUCCUGCUUCAUGGUGGGGGUUGGAAAGUUUCGGCGGUUGGGGAUGGACUCGCGGCUUAUCAGCUUGUUGGUGGGGUAGUGGCUUACCAAGGCUUUGACGGGUAGCCGGCCUGAGAGGGUGACCGGCCACAUUGGGACUGAGAUACGGCCCAGACUCCUACGGGAGGCAGCAGUGGGGAAUAUUGCACAAUGGGCGGAAGCCUGAUGCAGCAACGCCGCGUGCGGGAUGACGGCCUUCGGGUUGUAAACCGCUUUCGCCUGUGACGAAGCGUGAGUGACGGUAAUGGGUAAAGAAGCACCGGCUAACUACGUG
rnacentral:rRNA from 1 species